rnacentral:rRNA from 1 species
UACAGAGGUCUCAAGCGUUGUUCGGAUUCAUUGGGCGUAAAGGGUGCGUAGGUGGCGCUGUAAGUCGGGUGUGAAAUUUCGGAGCUUAACUCCGAAACUGCAUUCGAUACUGCGGUGCUUGAGGACUGGAGAGGAGACUGGAAUUCAUGGUGUAGCAGUGAAAUGCGUAGAGAUCAUGAGGAAGACCAGUGGCGAAGGCGGGUCUCUGGACAGUUCCUGACACUGAGGCACGAAGGCCAGGGGAGGCGAA